rnacentral:rRNA from 1 species
CCUACGGGAGGCAGCAGUGGGGAAUUUUGGACAAUGGGCGAAAGCCUGAUCCAGCCAUACCGCGUGCGGGAAGAAGGCCUUCGGGUUGUAAACCGCUUUUGUCAGGGAAGAAAUGCUUCGGGCUAAUACCCUGGGGUGAUGACGGUACCUGAAGAAUAAGCACCGGCUAACUACGUGCCAGCAGCCGCGGUAAUACGUAGGGUGCAAGCGUUAAUCGGAAUUACUGGGCGUAAAGCGUGCGCAGGCGGUUCUAUAAGACAGAUGUGAAAUCCCCGGGCUCAACCUGGGAACUGCAUUUGUGACUGUAGAGCUAGAGUACGGUAGAGGGGGAUGGAAUUCCGCGUGUAGCAGUGAAAUGCGUAGAUAUGCGGAGGAACACCGAUGGCGAAGGCAAUCCCCUGGACCUGUACUGACGCUCAUGCACGAAAGCGUGGGGAGCAAACAGGAUUAGAUACCCUGGUAGUCCACGCCCUAAACGAUGUCAACUGGUUGUUGGGAGGGUUUCUUCUCAGUAACCGAAGCUAACGCGUGAAGUUGACCGCCUUGGGGAAUCGGCCGCAAGGUUGAAACCUNAAUGAAUUGACGNUGAGAGNGCGAGACGACGACGAGGGAGGAGG